AUUGAACGCUGGCGGCAUGCUUUACACAUGCAAGUCGAACGGUAACAGGCCUUCGGGUGCUGACGAGUGGCGCACGGGUGAGUAAUGCAUCGGAACGUACCCAGAGGUGGGGGAUAACGCAGCGAAAGCUGUGCUAAUACCGCAUGUGAUCUGAGGAUGAAAGCGGGGGACCGAGCAGCAAUGUUUGGCCUCGCGCCUUUGGAGCGGCCGAUGUCGGAUUAGCUAGUUGGUGGGGUAAAGGCCUACCAAGGCGACGAUCCGUAGCUGGUCUGAGAGGACGACCGGCCACACUGGAACUGAGACACGGUCCAGACUCCUACGGGAGGCAGCAGUGGGGAAUUUUGGACAAUGGGCGCAAGCCUGAUCCAGCAAUGCCGCGUGCGGGAAGAAGGCCUUCGGGUUGUAAACCGCUUUUGGCAGGAACGAAACGGUGUCCGCUAAUACCGGGCGCUAAUGACGGUACCUGCAGAAUAAGCACCGGCUAACUACGUG
rnacentral:rRNA from 1 species